AAGUCGAACGAUGAACNUCNUUCGGGAGGGGAUUAAGUGGCGAACGGGGUGAGUAACACGUGGGCAAUCUGCCCUGCACUCUGGGACAAGCCCUGGAAACGGGGUCUAAUACCGGAUACGAGCCUGGGAGGCAUCUCCCGGGUUGGAAAGCUCCGGCGGUGCAGGAUGAGCCCGCGGCCUAUCAGCUUGUUGGUGAGGUAAUGGCUCACCAAGGCGACGACGGGUAGCCGGCCUGAGAGGGCGACCGGCCACACUGGGACUGAGACACGGCCCAGACUCCUACGGGAGGCAGCAGUGGGGAAUAUUGCACAAUGGGCGCAAGCCUGAUGCAGCGACGCCGCGUGAGGGAUGACGGCCUUCGGGUUGUAAACCUCUUUCAGCAGGGAAGAAGCGCAAGUGACGGUACCUGCAGAAGAAGCGCCGGCUAACUACGUGCCAGCAGCCGCGGUAAUA
rnacentral:rRNA from 1 species